rnacentral:rRNA from 1 species
UACGAAGGGGGCUAGCGUUGUUCGGAAUUACUGGGCGUAAAGGGCGCGCAGGCGGCCCUCCAAGUCAGGCGUGAAAGCCCCGGGCUCAACCCGGGAAUAGCGCUUGAGACGUGGGGGGCUUGAGUUCGGGAGAGGAGAGUGGAAUUCCCAGUGUAGAGGUGAAAUUCGAUAGGAUAUUGGGAAGAACACCGGUGGCGAAGGCGGGCUCUCGUGGGACGGUACUGACGCUGAGACGGCGAAAGCGUGGG